AAGCCAGUCAGUGAAUCUGCUUACCUGCUUGUGAUUCUGCAGAAAUUUUUUAUAACUGGUGAUAGCAAUGACAUGUUAUGAGCCUUAAUGACACUGGUGUUAUUAAGGUCCCUGAAAGUGGCUGUAUGA
ensembl:snoRNA